rnacentral:rRNA from 1 species
CAGCAGCCACGGGAAUACGUAGGGGGCAAGCGUUGUCCGGAAUCAUUGGGCGUAAAGCGCGUGUAGGCGGCUCGAUAAGUCUGCUGUGAAAGUCCAGGGCUCAACCCUGGAAUGCCGGUGGAAACUGUCGAGCUCGAGUCCGGAAGAGGCAAGUGGAAUUCCUGGUGUAGCGGUGAAAUGCGCAGAUAUCAGGAGGAACACCAAUGGCGAAGGCAGCUUGCUGGGACGGUACUGACGCUGAGACGCGAAAGCGUGGGGAGCAAACAGGAUUAGAUACCCCCGUAGUCCCUGUCUCUUAUAC